UACGUAGGGUGCGAGCGUUAAUCGGAAUUACUGGGCGUAAAGCGCACGUAGGCGGCUUCUUAAGUCGGUGGUGAAAUCCUGGAGCUCAACUCCAGAACUGCCUUCGAUACUGGGAGCUCGAGUCCGGGAGAGGUGAGUGGAACUGCGAGUGUAGAGGUGAAAUUCGUAGAUAUUCGCAAGAACACCCAGUGGCGAAGGCGGCUCACUGGCCCGGUACUGACGCUGAGGUGCGAAAGCGUGGGGAGCAAA
rnacentral:rRNA from 1 species